rnacentral:rRNA from 1 species
CAGUAGCCGCGGGAACACGGAGGGAGCUAGCGUUGUUCGGAAUUACUGGGCGUAAAGCGCGCGUAGGCGGUUACUCAAGUCAGAGGUGAAAGCCCGGGGCUCAACCCCGGAACUGCCUUUGAAACUAGGUGACUAGAAUCUUGGAGAGGUCAGUGGAAUUCCGAGUGUAGAGGUGAAAUUCGUAGAUAUUCGAAAGAACACCAGUGGCGAAGGCGACUGACUGGACAAGUAUUGACGCUGAGGUGCGAAAGCGUGGGGAGCAAACAGGAUUAGAUACCCGUGUAGUCCCUGUCUCUUAUAC